rnacentral:lncRNA from 13 species
AAAAUGUUUAACAUCCUCUAAACCAAUUCUACACUGACUUUUAACAUUGCAUAUCCAAGGAGACAGCUGAUUUUACUUGCUUUUCCUUUGGAAACUUCCUAGUUUUAACUCUCUUUCCACUUGUUGCAGGAUUGGCCAUGAGAAUUUGUAACAUUCCUUUGGAAAUACUGUGAUGGGGCCACUGAGAAGUUACCUUCCUGUGUACAGGACCCAAGAAUUAACACUUCUGGUAGGAGGCAUGUAACAGAAAUGUAUUUGCCAAAUGGUGCUGCCUCUUUUCUUGGAUAUGGGAAAGCAUUU